rnacentral:rRNA from 1 species
AUUGAACGCUGGCGGCAUGCUUUACACAUGCAAGUCGAACGGCAGCGCGGGCUUCGGCCUGGCGGCGAGUGGCGAACGGGUGAGUAAUGCAUCGGAACGUGCCCAGUAGUGGGGGAUAGCCCGGCGAAAGCCGGAUUAAUACCGCAUACGACCUGAGGGUGAAAGCGGGGGACCGAAAGGCCUCGCGCUAUUGGGGCGGCCGAUGUCGGAUUAGCUAGUUGGUGGGGUAAAGGCUUACCAAGGCGACGAUCCGUAGCUGGUCUGAGAGGACGACCAGCCACACUGGGACUGAGACACGGCCCAGACUCCUACGGGAGGCAGCAGUGGGGAAUUUUAGACAAUGGGGGCAACCCUGAUCCAGCCAUGCCGCGUGCGGGAAGAAGGCCUUCGGGUUGUAAACCGCUUUUGUUCGGGAAGAAAUCCUCUGGGCUAAUACCCCGGGGGGAUGACGGUACCGGAAGAAUAAGCACCGGCUAACUACGUG